rnacentral:misc_RNA from 1 species
UCUCCGUAGGUGAACCUGCGGAGGGAUCAUUACUGAGUGAGGGCCUUCGGGCUCGACCUCCAACCCUUUGUGAACACAACUUGUUGCUUCGGGGGCGACCCUGCCGUUCGCGGCGUGGGGCCCCCGGAGCCCAUCAAACCCUGCAUCAUUGCGUCGGAGUUAAAGUAAAUUAAACAAAACUUUCAACAACGGAUCUCUUGGUUCCAGCAUCGAUGAAGAACGCAGC